GUAUAUUUCAAUACUACUAGCAGAGCAUCUAAAAAAAUUCCAUCUGAAUAAAUUCUUGAGUUCAGUAGUUUGGAUGCACUUAGACGCCCACAUAUAUUCAGUUAACUGCACCUGCACGGGCAUAUAUAUAUUGCAGCUGGAUGGUCAUCCCCUUGCUCCCGUUCCCCCUGCACGCGUGUGCGCCGCUAUCAUAGCGACAGGGUCCCGUGGACGAUGGAUCCCGCACCCUCCAGCGACUCCUGCUAGAUCCCUUAUGCAGCGAACUUGACACGGAGGCGGGAGGUGACGCUUGUGC
rnacentral:lncRNA from 1 species